UACGUAGGGUGCAAGCGUUGCCCGGAUUUAUUGGGCGUAAAGAGCGUGUAGGCGGCCUGGUAGGUCUGCUGUGAAAACUCGAGGCUCAACCUCGAGAUGUCGGCGGAAACCAUCUGGCUAGAGUCCGGAAGAGGAGAGUGGAAUUCCUGGUGUAGCGGUGAAAUGCGCAGAUAUCAGGAAGAACACCCGUGGCGAAGGCGGCUCUCUGGGACGGUACUGACGCUGAGACGCGAAAGCGUGGGGAGCGAACAGG
rnacentral:rRNA from 1 species